UAUAAUUGUAAUUGUAAGUCGCUCUGGAUAAGAGCGUCUGCUAAAUGACUUAAA
rfam:Salmo salar isolate Sally breed double haploid chromosome ssa09, whole genome shotgun sequence.